AUGGAGGAGCGGAAGGAGGAGGGCGAGGCCGAGAUCCAGGAGCACGGGCCCGAGCACUGGUUCUCCAAGUGGGAGCGGCAGUGCCUGGCCGAGGCCGAGCAGGACGAGCAGCUGCCCCCGGAGCUGCAGGAGGAGGCGGCGGCUGCCGCGCAGCCGGAGCGCAAGCAACAGAAGCUGUGGCACCUCUUCCAGAGCUCGGCCACCGCCGUGGCCCAGCUCUACAAAGACCGGGUGUGUCAGCAGCCAGGACUUUCUCUGUGGGUUCCCUUCCAAAACGCAGCUACCGCCGUCACGAACCUCUACGAAGAAAGCGUGGAUACUCAUCAGCGAAGUUUUGAUAUUGGAAUUCACAUUGGCUGUCAGCGACGCAAUAAGGAUGUGUUGGCUUGGGUUAAAAAGCGCAGAAGAACUAUUCGUAGAGAUUUGAUCAGCUUCCUGUGUGGAAAGGUUCCUCCACCACGAAACUCUAGAGCUCCCCCAAGACUGACUGUAGUGUCCCCUAACCGAGCUACUUCAACGGAAACUAGCUCAUCUGUAGAGACUGAUUUGCAACCCUUCCUGGAAGCCAUAGCUCUGCAUGGUCUUAGUGGUGCAAUGGCCAGUAUAAGCGUGCGUUCGAGUACCCCAGGCUCUCCUACACAUGUAAGCAGCGGAUCGAAUGCUAGUCGAGGGAGAAAUGGACUCCAUGAUGUCGAUUUGAACACUUUCAUAUCAGAAGAAAUGGCACUCCACUUGGACAAUGGUGGAACUAGAAAGCGUACCUCAGCCCAGUGUGGGGAUGUCAUUACAGACUCACCAACCCAUAAACGCAACAGAAUGAUCUAAACUGCAGACAUUUUCCACACCCACCAUGCUGCUUGAAAGCCACUUGAUCCUCAACAUAUUACUAUUAUUGCAAAGGAAACAUAUGAGGCCAUCUUCCAUUGUUCACUGUUUAAGACAAGUGAAUCCUAUAGUGGUUGCCAUAAAAAGAAAGUUCUAGGUAUUUAUAGUAGAUGCCUCUUGUAAUUAUGGCUUUCUUAAAACUAUAACUCUAGCAGAGGACAUCAGAUACCAUGUCGUAGGGUCCUCGUAGGCAAACAUAUAUCCGUUUCAAGGCUAAAAGUGACCUUAACUGUAUUUAUUCUCAAAGGGAAAGGAAAUAUCAGAUGUUUAUUUGGUUACAGAAUGGUUUUUUGGGGGUGGGGGGGGAGGGUCCGUUUCCUGCUGUGUUGAGUAUUUUGCUUCAACAGUAUUGCCAGGUUCCUAAAAUUGUCUAAAACACACGAUUUGGCUUCCUCGUCAGAUCUCCAGGCUUCCAUUUUUGCAGCAGCACUGUACCACGCACCUGGUUUCUCUCUAAUAACAGCGUGCAACUUUGAAUUAUUAUUGAACUGUGUCCUAUUUUUUAGUUUUUGAAGCAGUCUAUAAUUCUGGUGAUUGUGUGAUGUAAAGAGGUGCUAUGAUGGUCAUGCAAUUAAUACUUAAUACUGAAUCAAUACACAGAACCUUAUUGGAUUCACUUUGUGUGUGUUAGUGCUCUAAAAGUAGCAAUAUUAAAUUGCCCCACUCCCCCAAUUAACCCUAUAGGCUUAAAAUAAUUCAUUUUUAAGACAAGUACUACUUCCCAAGCAGGGUACUAUCCUUAUGGUAAAUGUAAACAUGUUGACUGCAUUCAUGGUGACCUGAAGUAGAGAGGUCACGAACUCUUGAGAACAGGCUUCCUUUUUGGUUCAGUAUUAGUGAGAGGGAGAUGGGUGGUGGGAGAGGCUCAGCAUUGUAGUCUUUCAUAUUUACGUUUUUCAUGAAUGUUCUGCUUUGUGCAGUUUCCGUUGGAAUGGGUGAAAGAGAAAGGUCUUUUGUCUGCUAAUAAUGUGAUCCCAAUUUAAAUAGCAGAACCCAACUCUCCAAAUCCCUCUCCUAGAAAGUGCAGUUUGGAAUCUCAUUCUGGGAAAAGAUGGAAUCGCAUGGAAGUCCUCUAGAUGUUAGGUUAGACCUAAAUAAAAGUUCUCAAUAGAU